rnacentral:rRNA from 1 species
GAUGAACGCUGGCGGCGUGCCUAACACAUGCAAGUCGAGCGAUCUUCUUCGGAAGAGAGCGGCGGACGGGUGAGUAACGCGUGGGUAACCUGCCCUGUACACACGGAUAACAUACCGAAAGGUAUGCUAAUACGGGAUAAUACGCUUUUAUCGCAUGGCAGAAGUAUCAAAGCUCCGGCGGUACAGGAUGGACCCGCGUCUGAUUAGCUAGUUGGUAAGGUAACGGCUUACCAAGGCGACGAUCAGUAGCCGACCUGAGAGGGUGAUCGGCCACAUUGGAACUGAGACACGGUCCAAACUCCUACGGGAGGCAGCAGUGGGGAAUAUUGCACAAUGGGCGAAAGCCUGAUGCAGCAACGCCGCGUGAGCGAUGAAGGCCUUCGGGUCGUAAAGCUCUGUCCUCAAGGAAGAUAAUGACGGUACUUGAGGAGGAAGUCCCGGCUAACUACGUGCCAGCAGCCGCCGUAA